rnacentral:lncRNA from 1 species
UCCAGCUGCCUCCUUGGGUUCUGCAUUCAUGGUCUUGGUUUUUGAGCAGCUUGACCUCUAAGCCCAGGAUAUUGAAAACUGACCCCUAAAUAAACUUUAGGGUUUUCUAAGACCUUUCCUGCAGUCUCCCUCUUUGUAAGGUCCAAACUUAUCUCAGAGUACUACUGUUGGGAGCAGACAUCCUUGUGUCCUGAGUGGCCGGAAGGAGUAUGGCCUUAUAAAGGAAAGCCAAAACAACACAAAGCCAAAACCAACACUUGUUGUUUGCUUAGUAGUUAUGUAGCCCUUAAAGUCAUUGUUACAUUUAGUGAUGUGUCUUCCUGUGAUGGUUAACAAUAGUGCCUUUAGUAAAUUAUUUUACAGCCUAAACUGUUGGUUUUUUGCGUGGGUGUCCACCUUGCAGAUCUGAGGUAUUUAAUAAGAAACUGAAGUUUCUUUGCAUCAUUUGGGUUUUGUUUAGUUUUUUUUUUUUUCAGUGUAAUCUUAGAUUCACAACAAAAUCUAGUGGGAAGUACAACAGUCUGCUGUGUGCUAGUUUAAUGUUUUGUUUCUUUUAAAUGCCAGUAAAAAAAAAAAAGGUGCUACAAUGUGUUGGUCUAGAAAAAAAAAAGGUUCUUGAAAUUAAAGGCUAGAUUUGGUAACUUUUAUCACAUGAAUCUUUAAUGAGGUAUAUUUAACAGCUGAUGCAACAAUUUGUAUACGCUUUGGGUAAGUGACCUAAUAUCACUCCAAAUAUUACUCCAGCUGUAUUUUUGGCACAUAGGAUUCUGUCUUCGGUUGAUGUGUUUUUGUUGCGGUUUGUUAAUAAGCUGCCCCAGGCGACACUCCUUUCAGAAGUCUGUGCUAAAGAUAACUCUUCCUGGCUUAGAUAUAAGCUGUAAAUUAAGUCACUUUCUUUAGGAAGAAGGGGGAAAAAAAAACCUCUCCCAGUGGCUCACAGGUUCCUUGGGAUCUGUGGGUUGGUGGAGCCCCAUUUCUGAGCAGGUUGGGUGGCGGUGGCCAUGGCCAUGGCCAUGGCAGCAGCAGAGCUCCAUCCAUAAGACCUGGAAAGCUUUCUUUAGAACACAGCGAAAGGAAUCUCUCUUGCUUUUAGUUAAUUCAAGUUUAGACCACUUCUAGUGUUUUUAAAAAGGGGCCAGGGCCCUGAGAAAUUCCCAGUGGUCACAUAAUCCUAGCAAGAGUCAGGCUUAGGGUACUUCGAGAAAAACAAGAUCUUAGAUGUAACAGCCCAGGUGCCAUGCUCGAACUGUCUUCUCUCUGCCUUAAACAUCUGCCCCUAUGCAUUUGCCCCUAUGCAUUUGUCUUACUCCUUUGAACU